rnacentral:misc_RNA from 1 species
GAAAUGCGAUACGUAAUGCGAAUUGCAAGACCUCGUGAAUCAUCCAAAUUUUGAACGCACAUUGCGCUGCCGGGAAUUUCCUGGUAGCAUGCUUGUUUGAGUGUCCGCAAACCCCUCUCAGCACCGUCAUGGUAGCUGGUCUGUGGCAUUGCCCUUUGGGGCUCUGCUGAAGUUUGUUUGUGUUUUGCACGGUUUUGCCCACCAAGGACUGGUUGGUUGCACUCCUGGAUUGUCUUUCCUGUAGCUUGCUCUGUGUGAGUGAUGGAAAUUGACUUUGAAAUGGGCUACAGUGUGACUGGCAGUGUGUCCAGGCAGAGCUGUGACAGUUUGCGAGACCCCCUGUGUGGGCCUCUCUGUGCCAUCCUUUCGGAUCUCAGAUCAAGCAAGAGGACCCGCUGAA